rnacentral:rRNA from 1 species
AUUGAACGCUGGCGGCAGGCUUAACACAUGCAAGUCGAGCGGGGUGAUGGUGCUUGCACUAUCACUUAGCGGCGGACGGGUGAGUAAUGCUUAGGAAUCUGCCUAUUAGUGGGGGACAACAUCUCGAAAGGGAUGCUAAUACCGCAUACGUCCUACGGGAGAAAGCAGGGGAUCACUUGUGACCUUGCGCUAAUAGAUGAGCCUAAGUCGGAUUAGCUAGUUGGUGGGGUAAAGGCCUUCCAAGGCGACGAUCUGUAGCGGGUCUGAGAGGAUGUUCCGCCACACUGGGACUGAGACACGGCCCAGACUCCUACGGGAGGCAGCAGUUGGGAAUAUUGGACAAUGGGGGGAACCCUGAUCCAGCCAUGCCGCGUGUGUGAAGAAGGCCUUAUGGUUGUAAAGCACUUUAAGCGAGGAGGAGGCCCUUUUGGUUAAUACCCAAGAUGAGUGGACGUUACUCGCAGAAUAAGCACCGGCUAACUCUGUGCCAGCAGCCGCCGUAA